UACGUAGGUGGCAAGCGUUGUCCGGAAUUAUUGGGCGUAAAGCGCGCGCAGGCGGUUCUUUUAAGUCUGAUGUGAAAUCUUGCGGCUCAACCGCAAGCGGUCAUUGGAAACUGGGGAACUUGAGUGCAGAAGAGGAAAGUGGAAUUCCACGUGUAGCGGUGAAAUGCGUAGAGAUGUGGAGGAACACCAGUGGCGAAGGCGACUUUCUGGUCUGUAACUGACGCUGAGGCGCGAAAGCGUGGGGAGCAAACAGG
rnacentral:rRNA from 1 species